rnacentral:rRNA from 1 species
UACGUAGGGUGCUAGCGUUGUCCGGAUUUAUUGGGCGUAAAGAGCUUGUAGGCGGUUUGUCGCGUCUGCUGUGAAAAUCCGGGGCUCAACCCCGGACUUGCAGUGGGUACGGGCAGACUAGAGUGUGGUAGGGGAGACUGGAAUUCCUGGUGUAGCGGUGAAAUGCGCAGAUAUCAGGAGGAACACCGAUGGCGAAGGCAGGUCUCUGGGCCACUACUGACGCUGAGAAGCGAAAGCAUGGGGAGCGAACAGG